CCUCGUUUGCUUGAUGGUGCUUAAACAAUCUGGUUGGAGGUGCUCUUAGGACAAACUAUUUGCAUGUAUGUUCUUUGGUAUGAAUCAGGAUGAUUACCUGAAUGGCUGAGAUAUCUUCCUUGCUUUCUAGAUCUGCUUGGAGGCUUUCUGAGGACAAAUUGGUACACCUUUAAGUUUCAUGCCCAAGAAAAUGAUUUGCAGAACGGUUUAAUAUUUUCUUUCUUCAUACUUAUUUUAGUGAAUCAUUGAUUGUUACAGUAAGGGAAUCAUGUGGUUGUUAUUGUCCAAGCACAGGAACAGCUGAAUGCACUCAUAAUAUGUUCUCAAUGUUUGCUUCAACUUUAUUUCAUAGCGAGGAGGAUGAUGUAGUAGCUGAACUAAGUUAAUCGCAUAUGUUUUUCUUUCUCGGUUUUGCAGGUUUUCCUCAUUUGCUUGAUGUGCUAAACAAUCUGGUUGGAGGUGUGGAGGUGCUCUUAGGACAAACUAUGUGCAUGUAUCUUCUUUGGUAUGAAUCAGGCUGAUUACCUGAAUGGCUCAGAUAUCUUCCUUGCUUUCUAGAUCUGUUUGGAGGCUUUCUGAGGACAAAUUGGUGGGUUUGACAUUUGCAAGUUUAAUGGAUGAAAGAGCUUGCCAUAUUGCGACGUUGAUGAUGGCAUGAGCAACGCAGUAUGUGGAAGAUGAAGGUUGUGAUGGUCCGGUGUGGAUUUUACUUGAAGGUUGGGUUAUCGUUCUGUCCUGUAAUUGCGAUUAUAUGCAGGGUGGGUCAUGCUGGUCCUCUACUUUAGUGAUGCUGAAGUGUCAACUCUCAAGAAAGAAGUUCUGAUUAAGCAAAGGCUCUUCGGUUCUACUCUGCUGAAUAGGUUGCCUUGCCUUUACAUAUGCGCCUUUCUGGAGCACUGGUUGGAUUGAAAAUGUCACAUGGAAGACCAUUAUAAGCACCUGUAGAAGGGUUAUCAUAAAGGUAUUUGUUUUACAGGCCGUUGCUCAUUCUGAUCAAGCAGUUAAGAGAAGCUGUUCUUCAGGGUGUCGAAAGCUGUCCCUGGGCCAGGCAGGGAAUUGACUUGGAGAAUGUUUCAGAGAACGGUAAAUAUGAUUUGAUAGCCAUUACUUUCCAUUGUUUACUUACAAUCUGGGCGGAAGGAAAUAUAAAAUAGAUAAAGAACUACACAUGCAUGUCUCUCUCACAAAAUAUUGGUACUGCAAAUGGUCAAUUUACAUCAAUACAAUCUGUUGUGGUCAUGAUAUCA